UCCGUGCUGUGUGAUUGCGACGAGGGGACCGCCGCCAGCAGCAGCGUAUCGCCCAUUUCGUCUUUGCCGACAUCGAACAAGUGCAGCUCGCCGGACCGUCACAAGCGCCCGAAGUGCUGCGGUUUGCACUGCAUCUUUCAUUGUGAUAUGGGAGAUCGCAACGGACAGAGACGACCAGAUGCAUACGAACCACUACCAGCGGGGACCUGUGACCUGUGCCGUAUUUCUCUUAACGUCUCAGAUAAGCAUAUCAGCUUUUGUUCCGAGUUUACAAACGGUAUGCAAGAAAUGACAGCAGCCAGAAGUCGCCAUCUUAUCCAGCACAACUGAUAGGUACACUCUGGUGGCUCCUACCCCUGCGUCCUACCACCACCCUGUCCUGAGUACGUCCACUAGGGAGUUGGGAGCCUUUGGUGGCUUCUGCCACUGCAUCCUGCCGCCACCAUGUCCCGACUACGUCCACUAGGGAGUUGGCAGCCUUAGUGAUGAUGCCAGCAGGCUGA